rnacentral:rRNA from 1 species
UACCAGCACCCCGAGUGGUCGGGACGUUUAUUGGGCCUAAAGCAUCCGUAGCCGGUUCUACAAGUCUUCCGUUAAAUCCACCUGCUUAACAGAUGGGCUGCGGAAGAUACUAUGGAGCUAGGAGGCGGGAGAGGCAAGCGGUACUCGAUGGGUAGGGGUAAAAAUCCGUUGAUCCAUUGAAGACCACCAGUGGCGAAGGCGGCUUGCCAGAACGCGCUCGACGGUGAGGGAUGAAAGCUGGGGGAGCAA